CAAAAAGUCACUUUUUUUGUUUCAUUUUCUUCUCUUUCAUUUCCGUGCUUGCCUCUUUUCCUGAACUUGUUUCUUCCAGUGUGUCACACUGUGGAUGUCUUCCGUCACACCACUCCCACUCCUGCCACAGCAUCUGGGGCAGGGCCGCAUGCGCGAUAAAUACUAACAUACUUGACAUGAACACCAGAGACAUAAACUGGCUUGUGGUUUCCUGCAAAAAAUGGUUUCUGCUGCUUUGCCGAGAUCUAUAUAGGGAAGAAAACUGCAAAUGGCUAUUACAGGUGAGAAGUUUGCCGCCAGCUGUAUCCUGUUAUCCAAAGGAAACGGAACUGUAGGCUGCCAGGAGGUCCAGGCACAGGAGAGCAAGACCAUCAAUUCAGGUGAAACUGAGUCGGCCCUCAAACGCUCAGAUGAGGAAAUACCUACGCAUCUUGAAAAUGUAACUUAUGUAACAGUUGUGGCUAAUUCUGUUU
rnacentral:lncRNA from 1 species